rnacentral:misc_RNA from 1 species
CGAUCAAGAAGCUUGACGUUUCUACCUACAGAUCGCAUAGAUGGUACGCGAACGGUACGAACGGAUCGGUCUUGGAAAAAUUCGUGUUGCACCAUCUCGCGGUUGGGUUUUCGACUGUUGGUUCAACGAUUGUCCGGUCCGAAGAUAAAUUGACGCGAGGAGCAAUUUCGGUCGAUAAUAUUGGAAUGGAAUGGAAGUUCCAAGUUUCCACGCAUUUAUUUCAAUGGCGCUGCUAAGCAGCUUGAAACAUCGUAAAUCGUAAACAGUAAACAUACUGGAAAUUCUUCAGAGGCAAUUCGUUCAUUUUGCACAAGUUUACAUUGCUGAUGAGAUGAGUCAAGCUCGUUGGUCGUCGUUUUUUUGAAUGAUUGUUCUCGAAAUGAGCAGUGAACCCCAAAAAAAUGUCUCAAACGCGAUCAUCGUUUUGAAGUCGUUUGUAAUUGAGUGUUGCAGAAACUUGUCCCGACCGGAUAUGUUUUAGUUCAUUCAAGGGAAUAUUUACACAAUGGCGAAAGUCUGACGAGAAAGUAUUCGAUUCACAGAUCUUAAAACAGUGCACUUGCCCAGUUCCAGGUGACUCGAUCGCUAAGGCACCAAACGUUCGGUUAUAUGAACCGUGACCACGGCGUGACAAGUGAUAAAAAAGUCUCAUUAUUUUCACGAACAUAUUGCAUUUCGUAUAUCCCAAUACAAAAUCCAGAACGACCGAAUCGAUUCGACGAAUCGUUCGUCAGGUAAUCGCCUGCGAUUUUCUACUCAGAAUUUAAAAAAAGCCAAGAAAUCAACGUCAUCGGAGAUUAUACUGAAAAUAAAAAAAGCGUAAACUCGCAAUAUCAUCUGAACUAUUGUCAUUAUUUUGUUAUCAAAGAAGUAAAUUUUGGAAGUAUUCGAAAAACGUUGGAAAUGCAAUUAUCCCAGAUUUUGAGUGAAGACGGACGCGAAAAAACUGAACCAUCCUUCAGAUCCAAUUUCUGCGGAGAAAAACAACACCCACUUCUUUUAUGAGUGGCAAAAGUGCCGAAACAUUUGCUGUGCCCAAGCAUCUUUAAUCAGUAGAUCUUACGGCUUGGUUCUAGUUGACCAAAGUUUUACUUCAAAUUCAUCGACACGAUUUUUAUAUCGAAAUCUCAAUAAAGGAAAUUUAACCCUUCGACAGUCGCGUUAUGAGACUUUCUCUCGAAUUGGCUACGAGAGAGUCUCUCAUCACGUGACUAACGAACGUUGGCGAGAACGACGCGGAAACAGUUUAUUUUUCCUUUUCUUUCCUCUUUUCCUAUUCCCUCAUCAAAAUCAUAACGAACCUUCGCAGAAAGUCGCGGAUUUAUGUAUUCGGUGUGAGCGAUAUGCUUGUUUUAUAAACUCCAAUCUUCAGCUGACUUCACACAUGUCAAUACGGAAUCUCUUGUGACAAUGAGAGAUCGUUCGGCUCCCAAGCUUGGGUAUUAAGAAUCUUAUCGUCUGAUGAUCGAAAUAGAAACAUGGGUUGUUACCGUAACAGGUAAUAAAGUGUAGGAAACGGAAUUGCCAAAAAAAUACAGUUCGAAGCUUCCUGUCGUGUCGAUGAGUGCGAAAAUACUUCGUUCUUUCGUUCGGUUCGUUUUGCUCGUCGUCUUCGCUACCCCGGAAGCUUUGGCCUCUCCAAACACCGGACGGUCGACAAGAGCAUCGCUCUCUCCGAAAGCUGAAUGGGUGGAACCUCUGACGCUAGAACAGGCUAUAAAAUGCACCGACAAACCGCUCACACAAAGAGAGGCUCUCCGAGGUCACGAGAAGGAAUACAAAGUUCUGUACAAUUAUGUGCCAAUGAGCAAGCGGUUCAGAUGCUGGCAAAGCGUAACCUACGCGACCAAUGGAGAUUUUACUUUUCUGGACAACCUUGAACCGCUACUCGACAAAUGGAAAGCCCCAAUCUCGGUAGCCCUCCAUGCACCUGGAACAGAUUUCCAGCAGACAAUGGAUUCGAUCGGAUACAUGAGAAGGUGCUCCCCUCAGAAAUCGCUCAUUUCACAGUUGGUCUCGUUUCAUCUGUACUAUGAGAAUAAACACGCACCGUUCGAAAAGGUACCACCGAGCAAAGAUUUUCUCUCCAAAGCUUACGACUGCAAGCAGCGUGCACCGUGGAAAGAAAUCUCCCACGCUCAAACGUUCAAGAAUAAAGAAGAGCUCAUUUAUCCCGUGAACGUGGGUCGCAAUAUUGCAAAGGAAGCCGCGCUAACUCAUUACAUUCUCGUGGCCGAUAUCGAGAUGUAUCCGAGUCCGAAUUUAGCUACAGAAUUCCUCGAAAUGAUUAGAAGAAACGAUCAACCGCAAUAUUUGGAAAAGAAUCCAAAAGUAUUCGUGCUGCCUCCUUUCGAGGUCCUCAAAGACGGCGUUGUGCCAUCAAGCAAAACCGAACUCGUGGAGAUGUUGAACGCAGAAAAAGCUUUUCCCUUUCACGAUCGUAUAUGCAAAUCUUGCCACGCUGUGCCCCAUGCCAAUGCAUGGAAACUCACGCCGCAGUCUGAAUAUCUCGAAGUGUCUUCCCUGGGAAAUAGAACUGGCCGGUUCAAACACUGGGAACCUGUGUACAUAGGAACGGCUGAUGAUCCGGUAUACGACGAGAGGGUCACGUGGGAUGGCCAAAGUGACAGGAGGGUACAAGGCUGGCUACUCUGCGCUCUCGACUACCAAUUCCUAAUAUUGAACGAUGCGUUUGUCGUUCACCGUCCGGGCAGAAAGGAGCGUACGAAGAAUAACGAACGACAUAAAACGUUGAUUCGACAGAUGAAUAAACGCAUCCAGGAAGAAAUUCUCCCAGAGUACAGAGCCAAGUACGGGUCGAAGGGUCAUUGUCGAGUUUGACUCGCGCCAAUUGACAGUAGCAGUGAGAAUGACUGACGAAAUCUCAAUUCGAUAAGUUGCUUCUAGUUUUAAUAGGGUACUCGGCUUCGGCGGCCUCCUCGUGGACGGUUAUCACAGUGCAGACACGAGCAAGAUAUUCUGCAGUUUCCCUCCGUCCUCGGUGAUCGUGAGACGGUUAGGUUUUAUUAUAACUUUAAACUAAAAUGAAUGUUCGUUUUCGAUCAAAUGGAUUUUGCUACGAAAUAAGAAAUCAAUGAAAAAAUUC